AUCCUCUGGUUUCUCUUCAUAAUACACAAGACUUUUGCCUUUUACUAAAGACUUCCUUGGAGGAGAAACGCUGAUGAGUUGAAACUAUUUUGUGGGGCUUUGCUGUUUGGGCCGAGC